rnacentral:rRNA from 1 species
AGGACGAACGCUGGCGGCGUGCUUAACACAUGCAAGUCGAACGGAAAGGCCCGCUUGCGGGUACUCGAGUGGCGAACGGGUGAGUAACACGUGGGCAACCUGCCCUCAGCUUCGGGAUAACACUUGGAAACAGGUGCUAAUACCGGAUAAUAACCUUUCAUCGCAUGGUGUGGGGUUCAAAGUUUUUCGGCUGGGGAUGGGCCCGCGGCCUAUCAGCUUGUUGGUGGGGUAAUGGCCUACCAAGGCGACGACGGGUAGCCGGCCUGAGAGGGCGACCGGCCACACUGGGACUGAGACACGGCCCAGACUCCUACGGGAGGCAGCAGUGGGGAAUAUUGCGCAAUGGGCGGAAGCCUGACGCAGCGACGCCGCGUGAGGGAUGACGGCCUUCGGGUUGUAAACCUCUUCAGCUCUGACGAAGCGCAAGUGACGGUAGGAGCAGAAGAAGCACCGGCCAACUACGUGCCAGCAGCCGC